rnacentral:rRNA from 1 species
UACGGAGGGUGCGAGCGUUGUCCGGAAUCACUGGGCGUAAAGGGCGCGUAGGCGGCAUGCCAAGCGUGUGGUGAAAGCCCGGGGCUCAACCCCCGGGGUCGGCCGUGCGGACUGGCGUGCUCGAGCACUGUAGGGGCGGGUGGAAUUCCGGGUGUAGGCGGUGGAAUGCGUAGAGGAUCAUGAGGAAGACCAGUGGCGAAGGCGGGUCUCUGGACAGUUCCUGACACUGAGACACGAAGGCCAGGGGAGCAAACGGG